rnacentral:lncRNA from 1 species
CUUUCUCUACUGGAGGACCAUCAGCUAAAUAGCUCUUGGCUUCUCUUUUCCAAUCAGGUGGUUUCACAUCAGAGUUAAUUACUCCAGUCAUUUAUUCUAAUCACCCUCCUCUUAUGGCUAGCUGCAUUCUGUCAUGGGGUGGCAUCGUUUGAAGCCAGUUAAGUUUGAAAACCACUGCAGGGUACUUGAGGCUCAUUAGUGAGGCCUAUCCAUGCCUGGCUUUGGAUUUGCUCCCUGAUUAACUCUGGAUCUCUCUGCCUAGCGCCCUCCUCCCGCCAGCCCCCAGCCCCGACUCGUCAAUGCGGUUGCUCCAGAGAGGAAUGUUUCAAUUAACUCUUGCCUUGCUGUUUGUCUUUUCACCUGCAUAUUUAAGGAAAAUCUCAAUGCUUAUAUCACUAAUACAUAUUUCAUAGAUUCUGACCUUAUAACUGUAUCCUUUGAGUUUAACUGCAAUGGUAGACAUUCUAUAAA